UUUUAAUUUGGUUUUGUUAACCUGUAAUGAAUUUGAUCUUGACAUUAGAAUCGUGUUUUGUCCACACACGAAGUCUGUCUGUAGGUGUAUUCAAUUAAUUAUAAAUCGAGCAGAUGAUUAGGUAUUAUUCCUAAACCAAUGAUUUUAUCAUUACCGAAUUUUACAUAAGAUGUAUUAUGAGUAAUUUAUGGAUCAUAUAACCUUCAUUUAAGACAUUUUUGUCUCCGGGUGAACACCUUGCGAGAUCCUAAAAUGUAGUGGAUCAUGGAACAAACCAGUGUCAAUGAAAGUUGCAAAUUCUCGUACAGUAGCAAUGAAUUACGCAGUAACUUUUCUCAGCACCUACCAAAGGAAUAAAAUAUAUAUAUAUAACAGUCACACGUGAGUAAAGCAGAUCCUGAAAUUUAAAUAUCUACACAACAUUUUAUACAUGUAUACCAUACUAAUUUUAAUACUGGAAUUAAAAUUUUACAUUCCACUGAUCUUUCAUAUUAAAAGUCAAGGAUGUGGAACAUUAAUGUUAACACUUGGUAGACUAAUUACCAAAUAGCACACUUUUGUAUUUAUUUACAUAAAUAUUUACAGUACUUAGUAAUUUCCACUAUAGAGUAGGAAUGAGAUAAAAGAUAAUCUCUAAUUGCUGGCUUACUUUUAUAUAAUGAGAUACACUUUUAAUGCUAUUUGGAAGAGUAAUGAAUAAUUUUAUCCCAGCAUAGUAUCUUUCUCAUAACUAGUGAGGUUAGCGUUUACCUGAUGGAGAUUAUGCUUAUGCCUUGUAUGUCAGAACUUGUUUGCAAUUUCUUUUUGUAGUAAUCACGAUUCUGUUAGUUGCAGACGGACAUGAUGAAACUAAUAGGUGGUCUUCAAAACACAAAACAAGGGCUAUUAUUCUGGUUUCAUGUCACUGACUCUCUAACACACAAAAGUGUUAACUGUUUAUUUCUAUCAAGGUACAGAAGAAAUUUUUUUACAGAAUGGAUAUGAGACCAUCAAGGUAUUAGGAGCAGAUGAAAUUAAAUAUAAAGCAUCAACGCCAGGCAAAUGGAGUAUUAUGUUGGUGUAAUCAUAAUCGCCGUCAUGUGUUUACUAUGCAGCCAAAAUGCACUUCAUAAGCAGGCACGAAACCCCAACAGAUGGACAAGAAUUUAAUAUGUUAUACUACGUAUAAAGUACUGCUAAAAUUUUGUAAUAAGAAAUGUGUGUAUGUGUUCCAAAUACAUAUAUAUGUUCCAUAAUGUACAGUGUCGAACAAAACAUUUCUAUCAAUAAAAUACAUAAACAAAUAAUAAAAAAUAUAUAAAACUA